AGGCUUUGAUCCUGGCUCAGGAUGAACGCUGGCGGCGUGCCUAACACAUGCAAGUCGAGCGAUUCUCUUAGGAGAAGAGCGGCGGACGGGUGAGUAACGCGUGGGUAACCUGCCCUGUACACACGGAUAACAUACCGAAAGGUAUGCUAAUACGGGAUAACAUAUUUUGAUGGCAUCAUCGAAAUAUCAAAGCUCCGGCGGUACAGGAUGGACCCGCGUCUGAUUAGCUAGUUGGUGAGGUAAUGGCUCACCAAGGCGACGAUCAGUAGCCGACCUGAGAGGGUGAUCGGCCACAUUGGAACUGAGACACGGUCCAAACUCCUACGGGAGGCAGCAGUGGGGAAUAUUGCACAAUGGGCGAAAGCCUGAUGCAGCAACGCCGCGUGAGCGAUGAAGGCCUUCGGGUCGUAAAGCUCUGUCCUCAAGGAAGAUAAUGACGGUACUUGAGGAGGAAGCCCCGGCUAAA
rnacentral:rRNA from 1 species